rnacentral:tRNA from 1 species
UCCGAUAUGGUGUAGUGGCUAACAUUAUCGCCUCUCAUCAAUGAACGCGAUAGCCCGGGGUUCGAUUCCCCGUGUCGGAA